UUUAAUCUUUCUAUUUCAUACCUUUAUCACAAUCUGUUCCAACACAUCCGUUGUGACAUCUCAAUAGUCCCAAAUCGGAUAAUGUAGGAUAGUGUGAUAGGUUUAUAAGUGACAGACACGCUAGUAAAAAUAAUUGAGUUUAAGUAUUUUGAGCUAGCGACUUGGGUCUAACGAGUUAUUAUUGCUAAUAAGUCGGAUCGUUACAUUUAGUAUCAAAGCCUGAUAAUCAACUGGAAGUGUGAGAUGAAUUUUAUAUCGCUUGGUGAAUUUAGAACUGUGUAUGAUUGGGUCACUCUGACAAUGUCAGGGCCUAAAUGAGGAUAGUUUUACAUCGGAUAAUAUGGAAAGGUGUGUUGGGUUUACAAGUGAUGGACAUGUUGGUAAUAAUUGUUGGAUUUUAUCCAAUUAUUUGUAAUUGUGAGUUUCUUGAGAGGUUGUAAAAGAAGUCUUGUACGAUUGUAGGCGGCUUUAGUCUUGCUAUAUUCAAAAGGCCAAAUGAUAGUGAAAUCGGUAUCUCGAGGAGAAGAAGGACCGGACUGGAAUACUGGAGUAGGCAGAAAGGUCGAAUCAGGAUAAAUCAUCUGUGUUAUUUGAGAUUAUUUUUUCUUUUAUUUGGUUGUGCAAUUUUUAUCUUGAUUUAAUUUUACUUGAAUUUUUAGUUGUCAACUAAUUCACCCCUCUCUUAGUUGCCCCUCAAUUGGUGUUUCUUGCUAGCAGGUUGGUCGUUACAUCCGUGCUACCAAAUUAUUUUCGAUGAUGGAAUAUUUGAAUUGACAAUCAGCUUUGCUAGACACACUACAACAAAUCUUAUAUUUAAGGACACUUUAAGCAAUAACUAUCAACGCUUUAAAGCAUCGGAAAGAAUAACUCCCAUGCUUGUGAAAGCGUAGAAUAAAGAGUCGUUAAGUAAACAUGUCUGGAUUAAUAUACUGAUACUUUAAUAUAGUGUCGAAAAUUUUUUAUCAGUAUUUGAUAAAAAUAUGUGUAUUGGCGACGUUUAAUCAUAGUAUUGGCACAUGCCAAAUAUUAAAAAAAUUAAAAUAGAGCGUCGUCUAAAAAACUUCAUCCAAAAUAUAUUUUGUUGUAGUGACAUGAGUUAAAUAUCCAAAAUAUGUCGAAUUCCACAUUCAACAUUUAAUGAGUUAAACAUCCAUCUCUUACAUUAUACAUCAAUUUCACAUAUUUUUAAAAAAUAUAUUUAUAGCUUAAAUAGAAUUAUGAAUUUAUUUAAUCUAAACUAGUUAAUC
rnacentral:lncRNA from 1 species